rnacentral:miRNA from 1 species
UGGAAGUGAGGCUGAGGGGCGUAUGCCAUUAUGCGUUUGCUUUGGCCCCUCAGCCUCACUUCCA